rnacentral:lncRNA from 1 species
CCACCCACACACACAACACACCAAAAAAAUUAAAAUUAAAAAUUUUUAAAAAAGCUUUUUUUGAGUCGAAUGUCGAAUAUUGAAUAACCUAAGUUAGAUAUAGCCCGCUCUCUAUUCUCUCUCAAGUUACUUAUAAUAUAGAACUUCCAAAUUCACAAAGAGUAAAGGUUAAAAUAGAGAAGAAAGAAAGAAAAAAAAGAGAGAAGAAUCCCGAAAAAGAACAACAAAAAAUAAUAUAACCUCCGAUACAGUAAACAGGAUAAAACUAUAUCGAGGUCCUAAUUGUACGAGUAGAUACUCGGCUCGGCGUCCCCCAUUGCACCACCAACAACUAUGUUGCAAAUAUAAGAAGGGUUAUUACAACUGUACCAAAUCUUGAAUGAAGAAUUUGAUGGUUAGACUCAAGAACUCUCUUUGCCUUUAUAUAGGAAAUUUUGCCACAUUUUAUUUCUGUUCC